rnacentral:rRNA from 1 species
AGUGAACGCUGGCGGUAGGCCUAACACAUGCAAGUCGAACGGCAGCACAGUAAGAGCUUGCUCUUACGGGUGGCGAGUGGCGGACGGGGGAGGUAUACAUCGGAAUCUACUUUUUCGUGUUGGAUAACGUAGGGAAACUUACGCUAAUACCGCAUACGACCUACGGGUGAAAGCAGGGGAUCUUCGGACCUUGCGCGAUUGAAUGAGCCGAUGUCGGAUUAGCUAGUUGGCGGGGUAACGGCCCACCAAGGCGACGAUGCGUAGCUGGUCUGAGAGGAUGAUCAGCGACACUGGGACUGAGACACGGUCCAGACUCCUACGGGAGGCAGCAGUGGGGAAUAUUGGACAAUGGGCGCAAGCCUGAUCCAGCCAUACCGCGUGGGUGAAGAAGGCCUUCGGGUUGUAAAGCCCUUUUGUUGGGGAAGAAAAGCAGCAGGUUAAUACCCCGCUGUGCUGACGGUACCCAAAGAAUAAGCACCGGCUAACUUCGUG